UAAGAUGUUAAUCAAGAACACUGUUAACCAACCAAGCAGGGUCUGCAGCCAUAUCCUUUCCUAUAGAGCCUCACGAUGUGAAGAUUUUCUCGUGAGGUUUAAACCAGUGAUAAAGCAAAAGUUGGUUCACCCUUGCAUCUGCUGUUGGAUCUCAUGCUAGGAAGCAGCCUCUUGAUCUUGGAGUGAUCACUUGGAGGUCGUUCGGAGCAGACAAAA